CACUAUUCUUCUGUUACAUCAGGUCUUAUACUCCAGUCACCUCCAGAGCUGCAGUCACUAUUCUUCUGUUACAUCAGGUCUUAUACUCCAGUCACCUCCAGAGCUGCAGUCACUAUUCUUCUGUUACAU